AUGUAAUGACGUUGUGUUAAAUGACAUUUUCGCUACAAAACCAAAGCGCAGUGACAAUAUUAUUGUAUUACACAAACAAUACGACCUAUAAAAAAAAACGCGAUUUCAUCAAAAUUUUAAUAAAAAAUUACUACAUUAUACGGUUAAUUUUUAAUAUCAAAUUCAAACCUCGUAUUAAAUUUGCAAACAUUUCUAAUAAGUCAACACA